UCUUGCUUUGUUGUCCAGGCAGGAAUGCAGUGGUGUGAUCUCAGCUCACUGCAACCUCUGCCUCCCAGGUUCAAGCGAUUUUCCUGCCUCAGUUUCCUUAGUUGGGACUACAGGUGUGCAUCACCACGCCCGGCUAAUUUUUGUAAUUUUAGUCGGGUUUUCAGCAUGUUGGCCAGUCUGGUCUUGAACUCCUGAUCUCAAGUGAUCUGCCCGCCUUGGCCUCCCAAAGUGCUGGGAUUACAGGUGUGAGCCACAGUGCCCGGCCCCUAAUGCUGAUUCUAACCCAUUGUAUUAGUCUGUUUUCACACUGCUAUAAAGAACUACCUGAGACUGGGUAAUUAAGAAAAAGAGAUUUUAAUUGACUCAUAGUUCCGCAUGGCUGGGGAGGCAUCAGGAAACUUAAAAUUAUGGUGGAAGGGGAAGCAAGGCAUGUCUUACAGGGUGGCAGGCGAGAGAGAGCACAAAGGGUGAAGUUUUAAACCAUCAGAUCUCUGAGAACUCUAUCACGAGAACAGCAUGGAGGAAACCACCCCCAUGAUCCAGUCACCUCUCACCAGGUCCCUCCCUCCACACGUGGGGAUUACAAUUUGAGAUGAGAUUUGGGUGGGGCACAGGGCCAAAUCAUAUCACCUAUUAAGGAGCUUGUUUUUUGUGACAGGGACUUGUUCUGUCACCCAGGCUGGAGUGCAGUGGUGUGUUCACAGCUCACUGUAACCUCUAACUGGGCUCAAGUGAGCCUGCCUUGGCUUCCCAAGGUGCUGGAAUUAUAGGCAUGAGCCACUACGCCCAGCCCAGUAAGUAGAUUUUAAUCCGCAAUUUGAAAAACGCUGCAGUGUGUGAUGUGUUGAUCAAGUUUCAACCACAGAGGCAGAAGUUCUGAGCUAGAAGAGCCCUCAGAGGUCAUUUAAUCCACCAGUCCUUAAGCCUUGCACAGUACUGGGCUGGGUAUAGGAGAAUCACCUGAGAUAUUUGUUUAAAAUGUGCAUUCCAGGCCCCAACUCCCGAGAACUUAAAAUGGAACAAAGGACUCUGUUUAAAGUUUAACGAGCUUCCUAGGUGAGUUGUAUGCACAGCCAGAUUUGGGAGUUCUCCAAUGCAACCCUUACCAGUAAAGGCCCUCCAGAAUGGUGGAGGGUUUGAAUUUGCCUCUGCUGUGUGGAGGGCAGGCUUUCUCAGUUUGAAGUAACACCUUCAGGUUACUUAGGAAAUACAAUUAUUUACCUGAUACUUUGUUUAAAAGUUAUAAAAGAACUCUGUUACUACUGAAUUUGCAGGUUUGACAUGUUUAUUGUAUUACUUUCUAGUAUACUAAAAUAAAGAUGUAACUGUUUAAAAAAUGUGACUGGCUGGGUGUUGUGGCUCAUUUGGAAGGAUUGCAUGAAGCCAGAAGUUUGAGACCAGCCUGGGCAACAUAGCAAGACCCCCCAUUGCUACAUAUUUUUUUAUCUAAAUUAGCCGGCUGGGUGAGGUGGCUCACGCCUGUAAUCCCAGCACUUUGGAAGGCUGAGGCAGGUGGGUCACCUGAGGUCAGGAG
rnacentral:lncRNA from 1 species